rnacentral:ncRNA from 2 species
GUAAUAGCCUUAAGAAAAGACGCCAAUAUGGCUUAAUAGGGAAUCUGGUGAAAAUCCAGAACUGCCCCCGCAACUGUAAAUGCCGACGAAAUGAACAGACCACUGUGUAAGAACACUUAUAAAAAUAGGUGCUUAUCCGGGAAGGGUUCAAAGUAGGGUGACGCAUUAGUCAGGAGACCUGUCUUUCUUAAGUAGUUUCA